GGUAGCAUAAUCAGUAGUUUUUUAAUUGAAGGCUUGUAUGAAAGGUUGGACAAAGGAUAAGCUGUCUUUAUUUUUAUAUUUGAAUUUGUCUUUUAAGUGAAAAGACUUAAAUAAUUUUAAGGGACGAUAAGACCCUAUAAAUCUUUAUAUUAAUAUAUUUUUAUUUUAAUUUUUAAUGUUUAUAAUAAUAAAAAGAUAAGAUAUUAUAUUGGGGUGAUAAGAAUAAUAAAAUAAACUGUUCUAAAAAAAAAUACAAAAUUAUUUGGUAAAAUAGUAGAUCCUUUUUGGAGAUUAAAAGUUUAAGUUACUUUAGGGAUAACAGCGUUAUUUUUUUUGAGAGUUCUAAUCGAAAAAAAAGUUUGCGACCUCGAUGUUGAAUUAAAAUUUCUUUGUGGUGUAGUUAUUACAUAAGAGAGUCUGUUCGACUUUUAAAAUUUUACGUGAUCUGA
rnacentral:rRNA from 1 species